rnacentral:rRNA from 1 species
UGUUGACCUCGGAUCAGGUAGGAAUACCCCGCUGAACUUAAGCAUAU